rnacentral:sRNA from 1 species
AGUAUAUAAAUAAACUCGAACCCGAACCGAACCCGACCUGAAAUCUUAAAAUGUUCUAUUUUCACUUAUUAUUACCUGAGUUAAAAUUCUUAAAAUAAAACAUAAGUAUAGUAACACAUCAAAGGAUGCAAGACACUCCAUCAUACGAUGAGUUAAAAUUCUUAGAAUAAAACAUAAGUAUUCAA